GAUGAACGCUGGCGGCGUGCUUAACACAUGCAAGUCGAACGGAAAGGCUCCUGCUUGCAGGGGUUCUCGAGUGGCGAACGGGUGUGUAACAUGUGGGAGAUCUGCCCUGCACUUCGGGAUAAGCCGGGGAAACUGGGUCUAAUACCGGAUAGUACGAUGGUGGGGAUGCCAUUGUGGAAAGUCUUUGGGUGGGGGAAGAGCUCGGCGCCUAUCAGCAUGUUGGUGGGGUAAUGGCCUCACAAGGCGUCGACGGGGAGCCGGCCUGAGGGGGUGUACGGCCACAUUGGGAAUGGGAUACCGGCCAGACUCCUACGGGGAGGAAGAGGGGGGGAAAAUGCAAAAUGGGAGCAAGACUGAUGCAGAGACGCCGCGUGGGGGAGAAGAGCCUUCGGGUUAUAAACACCUUUCGCUAGGGACGAAGAGCAAGUGACGGUACCUGGAGAAGAAGAACCGGCUAAAUACGUG
rnacentral:rRNA from 1 species